UUUCAGAUCUAAAGCUUUUACAAGUAAGCCUAGAAAGCUAUCUUUGUUACCUCCAAGGAGGCAAAGAUUUCUAAAAUGGACCUGAAAACACUAACCAUGAAGGAGAAAAUUGAACUGAAGAAAUGAGUACGUACAUUGGGGAUGUUGGGAGUGAGGUUUCCGUCGGUGAAGGAAGAUACUUCUGUGGAACAGAAGAAGGCUGGGAAGAGCCAGUGGUCCUGGAUUAGAACUGGAACAUUGGGACGGAACCAGGGCUCCCUGAAGAAAGGGCCAAUUCCAGGGUAGGGCAGAGAGAGUACAAGACAGCCUGAAACAUCUAGUAAGUACGUCCGUG